rfam:Gloeophyllum trabeum ATCC 11539 unplaced genomic scaffold GLOTRscaffold_00001, whole genome shotgun sequence.
GCUUCCUUGGCUCAGCUGGUUAGAGCGCCGGUCUCAUAUCCUUAUAUGACCACCAGUAUUAGUGGGCCAUCCGGAGAUCGCCAGUUCGAUCCUGGCAGGGAGCA